rnacentral:rRNA from 1 species
AGUGAACGCUGGCGGUAGGCCUAACACAUGCAAGUCGAACGGCAGCACAGUAAGAGCUUGCUCUUACGGGUGGCGAGUGGCGGACGGGUGAGGCAUACAUCGGAAUCUACUUUUUCGUGGGGGAUAACGUAGGGAAACUUACGCUAAUACCGCAUACGACCUACGGGUUAAAGCAGGGGAUCUUCGCACCUUUCCUGAUUGUAUGAGCCGAUUCCGGAUUGGCUAGUUGGCAGGGUAAGGGCCCACCAAGGCAACGAUGCGUAGCCGAGCUGAGAGGGUGAUCCGCCACACUGGAACUGAGACACGGUCCAGACUCCUACGGGAGGCAGCAGUGGGGAAUCUUCCGCAAUGGGCGAAAGCCUGACGGAGCCACGCCGCGGGGGUGAAGAAGGUCUUCGGGUUGUAAAACCCUGUUAUUAGGGAAGAAAAAAUGGGUGAUUAACUACCCACGUCUUGACGGUACCCAAAAAGAAAGCCACGGCUAACUACGUG